CCUACGGGAGGCAGCAGUGGGGAAUUUUGGACAAUGGGCGCAAGCCUGAUCCAGCCAUGCCGCGUGCGGGAAGAAGGCCUUCGGGUUGUAAACCGCUUUUGUCAGGGAAGAAAAGGUUCUGGUUAAUACCUGGGACUCAUGACGGUACCUGAAGAAUAAGCACCGGCUAACUACGUGCCAGCAGCCGCGGUAAUACGUAGGGUGCAAGCGUUAAUCGGAAUUACUGGGCGUAAAGCGUGCGCAGGCGGUUAUGCAAGACAGAGGUGAAAUCCCCGGGCUCAACCUGGGAACUGCCUUUGUGACUGCAUAGCUAGAGUGCGGCAGAGGGGGAUGGAAUUCCGCGUGUAGCAGUGAAAUGCGUAGAUAUGCGGAGGAACACCGAUGGCGAAGGCAAUCCCCUGGGCCUGCACUGACGCUCAUGCACGAAAGCGUGGGGAGCAAACAGGAUUAGAUACCCUGGUAGUCCACGCCCUAAACCGAUGUCAACUGGUUGUUGGGAGGGUUUCUUCUCAGUAACGUAGCUAACGCGUGAAGUUGACCGCCUGGGGGAGGUACGGCCGCGAGUAGUAACGUACAAGUAGAGUUAGACGGCGUGAGACGUAGACCGACGGACGACGACGAGGGGAGGAGG
rnacentral:rRNA from 1 species